AUACGUAGGUGGCAAGCGUUAUCCGGAAUUACUGGGUGUAAAGGGUGCGUAGGCGGUUUGUAAAGUCAGAUGUGAAAUGCCGUGGCUUAACCACGGAGCUGCAUUUGAAACUUACAGACUUGAGUGAAGUAGAGGUAAGCGGAAUUCCUAGUGUAGCGGUGAAAUGCGUAGAUAUUAGGAGGAACACCAGUGGCGAAGGCGGCUUACUGGGCUUUAACUGACGCUGAGGCACGAAAGCAUGGGUAGC
rnacentral:rRNA from 1 species